rnacentral:rRNA from 1 species
AUUGAACGCUGGCGGCAGGCCUAACACAUGCAAGUCGAACGAGUGGCGGACGGGUGAGUAAUGUCUGGGAACCUGCCCGAUGGAGGGGGAUAACUACUGGAAACGGUAGCUAAUACCGCAUACUAUCGGAUGUGCCCAGAUGGGAUUAGCUAGUGGGUGGGGUAAAGGCUCACCUAGGCGACGAUCCCUAGCUGGUUGGAGAGGAUGACCAGCCACACUGGAACUGAGACACGGUCCAGACGCCUACGGGAGGCAGCAGUGGGGAAUUUUGGACAAUGGGCGAAAGCCUGAUACAGCCAUGCCGCGUGUAUGAAGAAGGCCUUCGGGUUGUAAAGUACUUUUGGCAGGGAGGCGUUACCCGCAGAAGAAGCACCGGCUAACUCCGUGCCAGCAGCCGCGGUAAUUC